rnacentral:lncRNA from 1 species
AAUUUUGAAAAAAUUACUUUCCUUUAACAACUAAAGAGCAAAAUCAGUAGACAAAUUCUUACCUAAAUUAAUCACACAGUCACCAAAUACGAAUCAAGUAAGAAUUUAGUCAAAUUCUACCAAAUAAGCAAUACCUUACCAAAAUUAACAUGUCAAAAUAUGUCUACAAAUAAAUAAGACAAACAUUAUUAAUUAAAAUUAACAAUCAAUAUUGCAAAUCAUCGGGCAAAAGACG